rnacentral:misc_RNA from 1 species
GUGAAUCAUCAAAUUUUUGAACGCAAAUUGCGCUUCCUGGCAUUCCGGGAAGUAUGUCUGUUUGAGGGUCAGUUUUAAUAAAAAUUCUCUUUAUUUUCAAAUUGUGACGUUUCCGGGGUUUGGGCUAUCUUAACAUUUUUGGUUAAGUGUCUUAAAAUUGACCUUUUUUGCGCUGUUGUAAACGUACAUAAAUUUUUUUUAUUCGUCUAUUCUGAAUGCUAAAAUCUUAUUAGAUGCGAUCACAUCGUG